GCCCGGAUAGCUCAGUCAGUAGAGCGUUAAACUUUUAAUCUAACGGUCCAGGGUUCGAGGCCCUGUUCAGGCU
rnacentral:tRNA from 1 species